rnacentral:rRNA from 1 species
GUUGGCUUAGAAGCAGCCAUCAUUUAAAGAAAGCGUAAUAGCUCACUGGUCGAGUCGGCCUGCGCGGAAGAUGUAACGGGGCUCAAGCUGAGUACCGAAGCUGCGGAUGCACACGCAAGUGUGUGUGGUAGAGGAGCGUUCUGUAAGCCUGUGAAGGUGACUCGUAAGGGUUGCUGGAGGUAUCAGAAGUGCGAAUGCUGACAUGAGUAACGAUAAGAGGGGUGAAAAACCCCUCCGCCGAAAGAU